rnacentral:rRNA from 1 species
AUUGAACGCUGGCGGCAGGCCUAACACAUGCAAGUCGAGCGGAGCGGCGGACGGGUGAGUAAUGCCUAGGAAUCUGCAUGGUAGUGGGGGAUAACGUCCGGAAACGGGCGCUCAUACCGCAUCAGAGCAAAUGAGCCUAGGGCGGAUUAGCUAGUUGGUGGGGUAAAGGCCUACCAAGGCGACGAUCCGUAACUGGUCUGAGAGGAUGAUCAGGCACACGGGAACUGAGACACGUUCCAGACUGUUACGGGAGGGAGCAGUGGGGGAGAUUGCACAAUGGGCGAAAGUCUGAUGCAGCGACGCCGCGUGGGGGAUGAAGGCUUUCGGGUUGUAAACCUCUUUCGCUAUCGAACGGGUAGGUGGAGAAGAAGCGCCGGCUAACUACGUGCCAGCAGCCGCGGUAAUUC